rnacentral:rRNA from 1 species
AAUCCAUAGGUUAAUGAGGCGAACCGGGGGAACUGAAACAUCUAAGUACCCCGAGGAAAAGAAAUCAACCGAGAUUCCCCCAGUAGCGGCGAGCGAACGGGGAGGAGCCCAGAGCCUGAAUCAGCAUGUGUGUUAGUGGAAGCGUCUGGAAAGGCGCGCGAUACAGGGUGACAGCCCCGUACACAAAAGCGCAUGUGCUGUGAGCUCGAUGAGUAGGGCGGGACACGUGGUAUCCUGUCUGAAUAUGGGGGGACCAUCCUCCAAGGCUAAAUACUCCUGACUGACCGAUAGUGAACCAGUACCGUGAGGGAAAGGCGAAAAGAACCCCGGCGAGGGGAGUGAAAAAGAACCUGAAACCGUGUACGUACAAGCAGUGGGAGCCUCUUUUAUGGGGUGACUGCGUACCUUUUGUAUAAUGGGUCAGCGACUUAUAUUCUGUAGCAAGGUUAACCGUAUAGGGGAGCCGGAGGGAAACCGAGUCUUAACCGGGCGUUAAGUUGCAGGGUAUAGACCCGAAACCCGGUGAUCUAGCCAUGGGCAGGUUGAAGGUUGGGUAACACUAACUGGAGGACCGAACCGACUAAUGUUGAAAAAUUAGCGGAUGACCUGUGGCUGGGGGUGAAAGGCCAAUCAAACCGGGAGAUAGCUGGUUCUCCCCGAAAGCUAUUUAGGUAGCGCCUCGUGAAUUCAUCUCCGGGGGUAGAGCACUGUUUCGGCUAGGGGGCCAUCCCGGCUUACCAACCCGAUGCAAACUGCGAAUACCGGAGAAUGUUAUCACGGGAGACACACGGCGGGUGCUAACGUCCGUCGUGAAGAGGGAAACAACCCAGACCGCCAGCUAAGGUCCCAAAGUCAUGGUUAAGUGGGAAACGAUGUGGGAAGGCCCAGACAGCCAGGAUGUUGGCUUAGAAGCAGCCAUCAUUUAAAGAAAGCGUAAUAGCUCACUGGUCGAGUCGGCCUGCGCGGAAGAUGUAACGGGGCUAAACCAUGCACCGAAGCUGCGGCAGCGACGCUGAUGCGUUGUUGGGUAGGGGAGCGUUCUGUAAGCCUGCGAAGGUGGCCUGUGAGGGUUGCUGGAGGUAUCAGAAGUGCGAAUGCUGACAUAAGUAACGAUAAAGCGGGUGAAAAGCCCGCUCGCCGGAAGACCAAGGGUUCCUGUCCAACGUUAAUCGGGGCAGGGUGAGUCGACCCCUAAGGCGAGGCCGAAAGGCGUAGUCGAUGGGAAACGGGUUAAUAUUCCCGUACUUGGUGUUACUGCGAAGGGGGGACGGAGAAGGCUAUGUUGGCCGGGCGACGGUUGUCCCGGUUUAAGCGUGUAGGUGUGUGUUCCAGGUAAAUCCGGUUCACUUUAACACUGAGGCGUGAUGACGAGGCACUACGGUGCUGAAGCAACAAAUGCCCUGCUUCCAGGAAAAGCCUCUAAGCAUCAGGUAACAUCAAAUCGUACCCCAAACCGACACAGGUGGUCAGGUAGAGAAUACCAAGGCGCUUGAGAGAACUCGGGUGAAGGAACUAGGCAAAAUGGUGCCGUAACUUCGGGAGAAGGCACGCUGACACGUAGGUGAAGUGAUUUACUCAUGGAGCUGAAGUCAGUCGAAGAUACCAGCUGGCUGCAACUGUUUAUUAAAAACACAGCACUGUGCAAACACGAAAGUGGACGUAUACGGUGUGACGCCUGCCCGGUGCCGGAAGGUUAAUUGAUGGGGUCAGCGCAAGCGAAGCUCCUGAUCGAAGCCCCGGUAAACGGCGGCCGUAACUAUAACGGUCCUAAGGUAGCGAAAUUCCUUGUCGGGUAAGUUCCGACCUGCACGAAUGGCGUAAUGAUGGCCAGGCUGUCUCCACCCGAGACUCAGUGAAAUUGAACUCGCUGUGAAGAUGCAGUGUACCCGCGGCAAGACGGAAAGACCCCGUGAACCUUUACUAUAGCUUGACACUGAACAUUGAGCCUUGAUGUGUAG